AUUAAACAUUAAAAAAAAUCGCCAAUCUAAACCUAAUCCCCUCCACCCCGACGAACUCUCUCCCUCUUUCUCCCUUCCUCUCUUGGUUUCGACAACAACGACUGAAUCUCCUACCACCACCCCCGACGACGGCUCCUCUUCUCCGGCGUAGUGUGUUCUCCGGUUCCCCUCUCAUGCUCUUCAUCUCUGGCGUGAAUCUCUUCUUCUCCUGUCAAAAUUGAAGGCUUGAAAAAAUAGGUUUUAUGUUGUUGGAGCUGGACUCUUCACUGGUGUCACAGUAGCUCUCUACCCUGUCUCCGUCGUCAAAACAAGCUUUAAGUUGCUUCCGAAGAUAUCGUUGGGUCUGAGCAAGACAGUGAUAAAGAAAACAGCGACGAGGAGAAGGAAGCUCAAGGCAGUGACACUGACUAUAGUGAAGAUGGAGAAUAAGCCAAUGGCAAGAAACAGAGCACUCGUGGCAGAGGACGUGGUCGCGGCGGCCGCACUGGUAAUGGAAAAGGUUCGCCGGUCGUGAUUCAGUGAAUGAGUCCGCAUGAUGUAGAUGUUUGACUUGGGAUAGAAGCAACUACUGAUUUUAAAAUGAAAAUUACUAUCCAUAAUUUAUGGUCCUAAGACUAAUCAUAUUGAUUAAGUUUUAAGGUCGUGAUGAAUGGUUUGUUUCAUCUUCACACGCAAUCCCUAAGCUUAUUAUCGCACAAUUUCUUUUGUGCUUCUCUUCCGAACAAGUAAAACCAAACUUUUCUAA